GACGAACGCUGGCGGCGUGCCUAAUACAUGCAAGUCGAGCGGAUGGAAGGAAGCUUGCUUCCUAAAGUCAGCGGCGGACGGGUGAGUAACACGUGGGCAACCUGCCCCUAAGAUCGGGAUAACUUCGGGAAACCGGAGCUAAUACCGGAUAUGAUUAUGUCUCACAUGAGACAUAAUGGAAAGACGGUUUCGGCUGUCACUUAGGGAUGGGCCCGCGGCGCAUUAGCUAGUUGGUGAGGUAACGGCUCACCAAGGCGACGAUGCGUAGCCGACCUGAGAGGGUGAUCGGCCACACUGGGACUGAGACACGGCCCAGACUCCUACGGGAGGCAGCAGUAGGGAAUCUUCCGCAAUGGACGAAAGUCUGACGGAGCAACGCCGCGUGAGCGAAGAAGGUUUUCGGAUCGUAAAACUCUGUUGUUAGGGAAGAACAAGUACCAUAGUAACUGAUGGUACCUUGACGGUACCUAACCAGAAAGCCACGGCUAACUACGUGCCAGCCGCCGCAGUAAUAC
rnacentral:rRNA from 1 species